rnacentral:rRNA from 1 species
UACGUAGGGGGCAAGCGUUGUCCGGAUUUAUUGGGCGUAAAGAGCGUGUAGGCGGCUUUACAGGUCCGUUGUGAAAACUCGAGGCUCAACCUCGAGACGCCGGUGGAAACCGUAAGGCUAGAGUCCGGAAGAGGAGAGUGGAAUUCCUGGUGUAGCGGUGAAAUGCGCAGAUAUCAGGAGGAACACCCGUGGCGAAAGCGGCUCUCUGGGACGGUACUGACGGCUGAGACGCGAAGCGUGGGGAGCAAACAGG